rnacentral:rRNA from 1 species
AUGACUGUCUUGAGUUGGAACUACCGGGGGCUUGGGAACCCCGAGGUAGUUUGAGAGCUUCACAGUAUUAUGAAGCAAGAAGUGCCCUUUCUUCUCUUUGUCAUGGAGAUGAAGAUUAGAGGAAGGAGAGUGGAAGAGUUGAAGAAUAAUUUGGGUUUUGGUGGUUGCUUUGCAGUGAACAGUGUUGGCCUAAGUGGUGGACUAGGCCUCUUCUGGUCCAAAGACAUUUUGGUUGAGUUGAAGAAUUUUAGCUUAAGCCAUAUUGAUGUUAUGGUAAAAAACAAUGAACAGAAUUCUCGGGCAUGGAGAUUUACAGGUUUUUACGGGGCACCGCCAGCCGCAGAUAGACAUCAUAGUUGGCGGUUCCUGCGUACACUUCAUGCCAUGCAACAUGAGAAGUGA